rnacentral:rRNA from 1 species
GAUCAUGGCUCAGGAUGAACGCUGGCGGCGUGCCUAACACAUGCAAGUCGAACGAGGCAAAUGAGAUGAAGUUUUCGGAUGGAUUCUUAUUUACCGAGUGGCGGACGGGUGAGUAACGCGUGAGUAACCUGCCCUGGAGUGGGGGACAACAGUUGGAAACGACUGCUAAUACCGCAUAAGCCCACGGAUCCGCAUGGAUCUGCGGGAAAAGGAUUUAUUCGCUUCAGGAUGGACUCGCGU